GAUGAACGCUAGCGGCAGGCCUAACACAUGCAAGUCGAGGGGCAUCAUGGCGUAGCAAUACGCUGAUGGCGACCGGCGCACGGGUGCGUAACGCGUAUGGAACCUACCCACCGCAGGGGGAUAACCCGCCGAAAGGCGGACUAAUACCCCAUGGUUCCCCGACCCUGCCUGGGGUUGGGGGUAAAGCCUACGGGCGGCGGUGGAUGGCCCUGCGUGCCAUUAGCUGGCUGGUGGGGUAACGGCCCACCAGGGCGACGAUGGCUAGGGGGUCUGAGAGGACGAUCCCCCACACUGGUACUGAGACACGGACCAGACUCCUACGGGAGGCAGCAGUGAGGAAUAUUGGUCAAUGGGCGGAAGCCUGAACCAGCCAUGCCGCGUGCAGGAUGACGGCCCUACGGGUUGUAAACUGCUUUUAUAGUAGAAGAAACACAUCUACGUGUAGAUGCCUGCCAGUAUACUAUGAAUAAGCAUCGGCUAACUCCGUG
rnacentral:rRNA from 1 species